CCGCGUCUAUCAGCCUAUCGAGACUGCCAAACCAAAAGCCUUACUUUAUGCCCCAGCUGCCCAAGCCCUAUUUGUGGUUGCGCCUCAAUCUGACUUUCCCGUCUAUCAGUACGUCCCUCUCGCCUUCCAUUCAGUAUUGAAACACUCUAUUAUUAUUACGGUUUACUUGUAUUGAUGCCAAUUCUUCUUUUCAUUUAGAAUAAUG
rnacentral:lncRNA from 1 species